GGACAACGUGCCCUAAAGUGGGGGAUAAUCAGGGGAAACUCUGGAUAAUACCCCAUAGAUCAUGAGAUCUGGAAUGACUUAUGGUUCAAAGUUCCGGCGCUUUAGGAUCGGUCUGCGGCCUAUCAGGUAGUAGUGGGUGUAAUGUACCCCCUAGCCUAUUACGGGUAUGGGCCUUGAGAGAGGGAGCCCAGAGUUGGAUUCUGAGACACGAAUCCAGGCCCUACGGGGCGCAGCAGUCGCGAAAACUUCACAAUGGGCGAAAGCCCGAUGAGGGAAUUCCUAGUGCUAGCACUUUUGUGUUAGCUUUUCUUUAGCGUAGAUAACUAGAGGAAUAAGGGCUGGGUAAGACGGGUGCCAGCCGCCGCGGUAAUACCCGCAGCCCGAGUGGUGGUCGAUUUUAUUGAGUCUAAAACGUUCGUAGCCGGUCUGAUAGAUCCUUGGGUAAAUCGGGAAGCUUAACUUUCCGACUUCCGAGGAGACUGUCAAACUUGGGACCGGGAGAGGCUAGAGGUACUUCUGGGGUAGGGGUAAAAUCCUGUAAUCCUAGAAGGACCACCGGUGGCGAAGGCGUCUAGCUAGAACGGAUCCGACGGUGAGGGACGAAGCCCUGGGUCGCAAACGGGAUUAGAUACCCCGGUAGUCUAGGGUGUAAACGCUGCCGACUUGGUGUUGGAGGCCCUUCGGGGGCAUUCAGUGCCGGAGAGAAGUUGUUAAGUCGGCCACUUGGGGAGUACGUCCGCAAGGAUGAAACUUAA
rnacentral:rRNA from 1 species